UACUUUAGCCUUUGCGUGAUUACCAUCGC
rnacentral:piRNA from 1 species